rnacentral:rRNA from 1 species
CCUACGGGCGGCAGCAGUGGGGAAUAUUGGACAAUGGGGGCAACCCUGAUCCAGCGACGCCGCGUGAGUGAAGAAGUAUUUCGGGAUGUAAAGCUCUAUCAGCAGGGAAGAAAGAAAUGACGGUACCUGACCAAGAAGCCCCGGCUAACUACGUGCCAGCAGCCGCGGUAUUACGUAGGGGGCAAGCGUUAUCCGGAUUUACUGGGUGUAAAGGGAGCGUAGACGGUUACGCAAGUCUGGAGUGAAAGGCGGGGGCCCAACCCCCGAACUGCUUUGGAAACUGUAUAGCUGGAGUGCAGGAGAGGUAAGUGGAAUUCGUAGUGUAGCGGUGAAAUGCGUAGAUAUUAGGAGGAACACCAGUGGCGAAGGCGGCUUACUGGACUGUAACUGACGUUGAGGCUCGAAAGCGUGGGGAGCAAACAGGAUUAGAUACCCCAGUAGUC